GCUGGGUGUGGUGGUGCACACCUGUAAUCCCAGCUACUCAGGAGGCUGAGGCAGGAGAAUCACUUGAACUCGGUAGUUGGAGGUUGCAGUGAGCUGAGAUGGUGCCACUGCACUCCAACCUGGGUGACAGAGCGAGACUCUGUCUCAU
ensembl:misc_RNA Metazoa_SRP Metazoan signal recognition particle RNA